UCACAGUUUGCACUGGCAGUCUCGUUAGAGUUCCCGACAUGACUCGCUGGCAACAUAGAACGAGGGUUGCGCUCGUUGCGGGACUUAACCCAACAUCUCACGACACGAGCUGACGACAACCAUGCACCACCUGUGUACCGACCUUGCGGGGAGCACAUCUCUGCACUUUUCCAAAACGGUCAAUCUACAUUUAAGCCUUGGUAAGGUUCCUCGCGUAUCAUCGAAUUAAACCACAUGCUCCACCGCUUGUGCGGGCCCCCGUCAAUUCCUUUGAGUUUCAAACUUGCGUUCGUACUCCCCAGGUGGGAUACUUAUCACUUUCGCUUAGCCACUGAGAUUGCUCCCAACAGCUAGUAUCCAUCGUUUACGGCGUGGACUAC
rnacentral:misc_RNA from 1 species